GGGUUGUGAGGUUAAGCGACUAAGCGUACACGGUGGAUGCCCUGGCAGUCAGAGGCGAUGAAGGGCGUGCUAAUCUGCGAUAAGCGCCGGUAAGGUGAUAUGAACCGUUAUAACCGGCGAUACCCGAAUGGGGAAACCCAGUGUGAUUCGUCACACUAUCAUUAACUGAAUCCAUAGGUUAAUGAGGCGAACCGGGGGAACUGAAACAUCUAAGUACCCCGAGGAAAAGAAAUCAACCGAGAUUCCCCCAGUAGCGGCGAGCGAACGGGGAGGAGCCCAGAGCCUGAAUCAGCAUGUGUGUUAGUGGAAGCGUCUGGAAAGGCGCGCGAUACAGGGUGACAGCCCCGUACACAAAAGCGCAUGUGCUGUGAGCUCGAUGAGUAGGGCGGGACACGUGGUAUCCUGUCUGAAUAUGGGGGGACCAUCCUCCAAGGCUAAAUACUCCUGACUGACCGAUAGUGAACCAGUACCGUGAGGGAAAGGCGAAAAGAACCCCGGCGAGGGGAGUGAAAAAGAACCUGAAACCGUGUACGUACAAGCAGUGGGAGCCCCACCACUAAGCCGGUGGUGAACUCCACAUACGCAUCCUUUGCUGAGGAUACGGUUAACGGAGCGAAAGCGACGUUCAACCGCAAAAGAAGCAGAGGGGGCUUAGUGGUGGGGUGACUGCGUACCUUUUGUAUAAUGGGUCAGCGACUUAUAUUCUGUAGCAAGGUUAACCGUAUAGGGGAGCCGCAGGGAAACCGAGUCUUAAUUGGGCGUUAAGUUGCAGGGUAUAGACCCGAAACCCGGUGAUCUAGCCAUGGGCAGGUUGAAGGUUGGGUAACACUAACUGGAGGACCGAACCGACUAAUGUUGAAAAAUUAGCGGAUGACCUGUGGCUGGGGGUGAAAGGCCAAUCAAACCGGGAGAUAGCUGGUUCUCCCCGAAAGCUAUUUAGGUAGCGCCUCGUGAACUCAUCUCCGGGGGUAGAGCACUGUUUCGGCUAGGGGGCCAUCCCGGCUUACCAACCCGAUGCAAACUGCGAAUACCGGAGAAUGUUAUCACGGGAGACACACGGCGGGUGCUAACGUCCGUCGUGAAGAGGGAAACAACCCAGACCGCCAGCUAAGGUCCCAAAGUCAUGGUUAAGUGGGAAACGAUGUGGGAAGGCCCAGACAGCCAGGAUGUUGGCUUAGAAGCAGCCAUCAUUUAAAGAAAGCGUAAUAGCUCACUGGUCGAGUCGGCCUGCGCGGAAGAUGUAACGGGGCUAAACCAUGCACCGAAGCUGCGGCAGCGAACGUAUCACUUAAAGCGAUUCAGCGGGUUACGAUUGACGGAGCGAAGCGACGUCAAAGCGUAUACAAAGUCGAGUCGGUUUAAGGAUACGUUCGUUGGGUAGGGGAGCGUUCUGUAAGCCUGUGAAGGUGUGUCGUGAGGCAUGCUGGAGGUAUCAGAAGUGCGAAUGCUGACAUAAGUAACGAUAAAGCGGGUGAAAAGCCCGCUCGCCGGAAGACCAAGGGUUCCUGUCCAACGUUAAUCGGGGCAGGGUGAGUCGACCCCUAAGGCGAGGCCGAAAGGCGUAGUCGAUGGGAAACGGGUUAAUAUUCCCGUACUUGGUGUUACUGCGAAGGGGGGACGGAGAAGGCUAUGUUGGCCGGGCGACGGUUGUCCCGGUUUAAGCGUGUAGGUGUGUGUUCCAGGUAAAUCCGGUUCACUUUAACACUGAGGCGUGACGACGAGGCACUACGGUGCUGAAGCAACAAAUGCCCUGCUUCCAGGAAAAGCCUCUAAGCAUCAGGUAACAUCAAAUCGUACCCCAAACCGACACAGGUGGUCAGGUAGAGAAUACCAAGGCGCUUGAGAGAACUCGGGUGAAGGAACUAGGCAAAAUGGUGCCGUAACUUCGGGAGAAGGCACGCUGACACGUAGGUGAAGUGAUUUACUCAUGGAGCUGAAGUCAGUCGAAGAUACCAGCUGGCUGCAACUGUUUAUUAAAAACACAGCACUGUGCAAACACGAAAGUGGACGUAUACGGUGUGACGCCUGCCCGGUGCCGGAAGGUUAAUUGAUGGGGUCAGCGCAAGCGAAGCUCCUGAUCGAAGCCCCGGUAAACGGCGGCCGUAACUAUAACGGUCCUAAGGUAGCGAAAUUCCUUGUCGGGUAAGUUCCGACCUGCACGAAUGGCGUAAUGAUGGCCAGGCUGUCUCCACCCGAGACUCAGUGAAAUUGAACUCGCUGUGAAGAUGCAGUGUACCCGCGGCAAGACGGAAAGACCCCGUGAACCUUUACUAUAGCUUGACACUGAACAUUGAGCCUUGAUGUGUAGGAUAGGUGGGAGGCUUUGAAGUGUGGACGCCAGUCUGCAUGGAGCCGACCUUGAAAUACCACCCUUUAAUGUUUGAUGUUCUAACGUGGACCCGUGAUCCGGGUUGCGGACAGUGUCUGGUGGGUAGUUUGACUGGGGCGGUCUCCUCCUAAAGAGUAACGGAGGAGCACGAAGGUUGGCUAAUCCUGGUCGGACAUCAGGAGGUUAGUGCAAUGGCAUAAGCCAGCUUGACUGCGAGCGUGACGGCGCGAGCAGGUGCGAAAGCAGGUCAUAGUGAUCCGGUGGUUCUGAAUGGAAGGGCCAUCGCUCAACGGAUAAAAGGUACUCCGGGGAUAACAGGCUGAUACCGCCCAAGAGUUCAUAUCGACGGCGGUGUUUGGCACCUCGAUGUCGGCUCAUCACAUCCUGGGGCUGAAGUAGGUCCCAAGGGUAUGGCUGUUCGCCAUUUAAAGUGGUACGCGAGCUGGGUUUAGAACGUCGUGAGACAGUUCGGUCCCUAUCUGCCGUGGGCGCUGGAGAACUGAGGGGGGCUGCUCCUAGUACGAGAGGACCGGAGUGGACGCAUCACUGGUGUUCGGGUUGUCAUGCCAAUGGCACUGCCCGGUAGCUAAAUGCGGAAGAGAUAAGUGCUGAAAGCAUCUAAGCACGAAACUUGCCCCGAGAUGAGUUCUCCCUGAGACUUAGAGUCUCCUGAAGGAACGUUGAAGACGACGACGUUGAUAGGCCGGGUGUGUAAGCGCAGCGAUGCGUUGAGCUAACCGGUACUAAUGAACCGUGAGGCUUAACCUUACAACGCCGAAG
rnacentral:rRNA from 1 species